rnacentral:rRNA from 1 species
AUUGAACGCUGGCGGAAUGCUUUACACAUGCAAGUCGAACGGCAGCACGGACUUCGGUCUGGUGGCGAGUGGCGAACGGGUGAGUAACAUAUCGGAACGUAUCCAAUAAUGGGGGAUAACGAGUCGAAAGAUUCGCUAAUACCGCAUACGCCCUACGGGGGAAAGCUAGGGACCUUCGGGCCUGGCGUUGAUGGAGCGGCCGAUAUCUGAUUAGCUAGUUGGUGAGGUAAAGGCUCACCAAGGCGACGAUCAGUAGCUGGUCUGAGAGGACGACCAGCCACACUGGAACUGAGACACGGUCCAGACUCCUACGGGAGGCAGCAGUGGGGAAUUUUGGACAAUGGGCGCAAGCCUGAUCCAGCCAUUCCGCGUGAGUGAAGAAGGCCUUCGGGUUGUAAAGCUCUUUCGCAAGGGAAGAAAACUUAUCCUCUAACAUAGGAUGAGGUUGACGGUACCUUGAUAAGAAGCACCGGCUAACUACGUGCCAGCCGCCGCCGUAA